CCUACGGGGGGCAGCAGUGAGGAAUAUUGGUCAAUGGGCUUACGCCUGAACCAGCCAAGUCGCGUGAGGGAAGACUGCCCUAUGGGUUGUAAACCUCUUUUGUCAGGGAGCAAUUGGCGCUACGUGUAGCGUUAUCGAGAGUACCUGAAGAAAAAGCAUCGGCCAACUCCGUGCCAGCAGCCGCGGUAAUACGGAGGAUGCGAGCGUUAUCCGGAUUUAUUGGGUUUAAAGGGUGCGUAGGCGGAAUGCCAAGUCAGCGGGAAAAUCGCGGGGCUCAACCUCGCUCCGCCGUUGAAACUGGCGUUCUUGAGUGGGCGAGAAGUAUGCGGAAUGCGUGGUGUAGCGGUGAAAUGCAUAGAUAUCACGCAGAACUCCGAUUGCGAAGGCAGCAUACCGGCGCCCGACUGACGCUGAGGCACGAAAGCGUGGGGAUCGAACAGGAUUAGAUACCCCGGUAGUC
rnacentral:rRNA from 1 species